GAUCUGGCUCAGGAUGAACGCUGGCGGCGUGCCUAGUACAUGCAAGUCGAGCGAACCACUUCGGUGGUGAGCGGCGAACGGGUGAGUAACACGUAGGUUAUCUGCCCAUCAGACGGGGACAACGAUUGGAAACGAUCGCUAAUACCGGAUAGGACGAAAGUUUAAAGGUGCUUCGGCACCACUGAUGGAUGAGCCUGCGGCGCAUUAGCUAGUUGGUAGGGUAAAGGCCUACCAAGGCGACGA
rnacentral:rRNA from 1 species